UACGUAGGUGGCAAGCGUUGUCCGGAUUUACUGGGCGUAAAGGGCGUGCAGGCGGUCUGUUAAGUGCAGGGUGAAAGCUCCCGGCUCAACUGGGAGAGGUCCUUGCAUACUGGCGGACUUGAGGGGGGUAGAGGAAAGUGGAAUUCCCGGUGUAGUGGUGGAAUGCGUAGAUAUCGAGAGGAACACCUGCGGCGAAGGCGGGUUGCUGGGCCGACACUGACGCUGAUGCGCGAAAGCCAGGGGAGCGAACGGG
rnacentral:rRNA from 1 species